UAGGGAAUCUUCCGCAAUGGACGAAAGUCUGACGGAGCAACGCCGCGUGUAUGAAGAAGGUUUUCGGAUCGUAAAGUACUGUUGUUAGAGAAGAACACCCAGUAAAGUAACUGUUACUGGAUUGACGGUAUCUAACCAGAAAGUGACGGCUAACUACGUGCCAGCAGCCGCGGUAAUACGUAGGUCACAAGCGUUGUCCGGAUUUAUUGGGCGUAAAGGGAGCGCAGGCGGUCUGUUAAGUCUGAUGUGAAAGCCCACGGCUCAACCGUGGAACUGCAUUGGAAACUGGUAGACUUGAGUGCAGAAGAGGAAAGUGGAAUUCCAUGUGUAGCGGUGAAAUGCGUAGAUAUAUGGAGGAACACCAGUGGCGAAGGCGACUUUCUGGUCUGUAACUGACGCUGAGGCUCGAAAGCGUGGGGAGCGAACAGG
rnacentral:rRNA from 1 species